AUGGCUCCUCCCGAGGCCGAGGCUGAUGUAGAGGAGGGAGAAGAGAAGAAGAAGAAGGAAAGGAAAGCAGCCGGAGCUGCUUUCACGUGGAUUCAAACUCACUUUGCGACGUGCCCUCCGGAUGCCACUGAUGAUGUGAUCCAGACACAUGCUCGUGUCUACAUGUGGUAUGUUGUGUCGAGGACUUUGUUUCCUGACUCCACUAGCAAGAACGCUCCAUGGAUGUGGCUGAAGGCGUUGACCGUCUUCGAUAACAAAUGGAGCCGGGGUUCAGCGACUCUUGCCUACUUGUACCGACAGGUAGUUGGUCUGUUUUGUGAUCAACUCAUUUCUUCAUUAGCAAUGCAAGCUUGCUGUCAAGUUAACAUUGUUUUUCUUUCAUAUGCAGCUGGACGAUGCGUGUUGCAGGAUCACAGGUAG
rnacentral:rRNA from 1 species